AUUAUUAGUUAUAAUGAUGUUAAAUAGAGACAAAAUGGGAAGAGACUGUGAUUAACAGCUGCAGAGCUGCACUCAACACAGCUUCUCUGUAAUAUUUAUGCAAAUCUCCAUCUCCUCUUGUAAUAUUAGCACCGUGCUUAUCUAGAGAGGAAGCGCUUCUCAUUAGUCCUCCUUCAACACAAACAUGUUUGCUUCAGCUCCACUGCUGCUGCUGGCUCUCGCCCCCUAUGUGUUCUGUGCUACUGAGCUCAUCCAGCCAGACUCAGUGCUUAUAAAGCCAGGAGAGACUUUAACCAUCACCUGUAGAGUGUCUGGAGCUUCUAUCACUGAUAGCAGCAGCCACUAUGGAACAGGUUGGAUUCGACAACCUGCAGGAAAAGCUCUGGAAUGGAUCAAUUUAAUUUAUUUUAAUGGGAAUAUUGCUAAGAAAGAUUCACUUAAAAACAAGUUUGUCGUCUUCCAAGACACUUCCAGUAACACUGUGACCUUAUGGGGACAGAACAUCCAGACUGAAGACACAGCUGUGUAUUACUGCACUCGUGAUGCACACUGACACAACAAGCUGCAGCGCUGCACAAAAACAUCAUCUUCAUCACAAUUCAGUUCUGUAUUUAAAUAAUAAGCACAUUUAACUGAUUAACUAAUCCCCACAUUACAGACACUUCAACCCAAACAUUUAGAUCAUUUAAUCAUUUAACAAAAACUAAUACAAAAGUUUACUCAGUUCAU